UGCAUCCCUACCAAAGAAAGAUAAAGCUUGUUAUUAUUGACGCUAGCACGAACAGUAUGUUAUUUCCAUGCAAGAUGGAUGAAAAUCUGAAAAGAAUUAUCUUUGGGGAAAUUACCUUUGUUUUGUGACGUAAAGAAAUGGCAUGGUAGCCGAAGGUUAUGCUGACUAAAAAUCGAUGUUUUUUAGCCUCGUAAUAAAACAAAAUUAUCAUAAGUAGGCAAGGGAGGUGCAACACUAUCAGAUAAAACCAUAUACCCCUGGAAAAGAUUGUAGGAUGCGUUUUUUAAACGAAGAUUUCAGAAGAGAUAUUGAAAAUUUUAUAGCUGGAAACAUGAAGACAGCCGAGUUGAAGUGCAUGUAUGAACGCAGUUGUCUUUGCCUAGUCGCCUGGAGCUUAAAAUGCUUACUGGAAGAGAAAUCUGGUUCAAUGACAUAAUUGACAUUGGAUACAAGUUGUAGUAUUUUCAAAACAAUAUUUAUUCAAGUCAUAUGUUUCAAUAAAAAAUGUUUAUUCAUGCG